rnacentral:tRNA from 2 species
GGGCUCUUAGCUCAGUUGGUAGAGCAGCGGACUCUUAAUCCGUUUGUCGCAGGUUCGACCCCUGCAGGGCCCACCA